GUAACUCCAGCCCUUGCCCACCAUCAUUGUUUUUUGCCACGCCGUCAGUUUUGUCGUGGUGAUAUUUUAAUUGAAUAUUUGCUGCUGGAAACGUGUGUGCCUCGAGCAAGGAAUUAAAUUUGAAACGCCAUUCAUUCCUGGACGAUAUGAGGAUAGAAAAGACACAUCGGCAAUGUCGAUCAGGAAGGAAACGAUCCGGAAUCGAUUUAGAGGCUGUUCCGAACAAGAUACCAACGAAAUUGUGCCAAAUACAGCGUAGCAGAAGAGCCAGGUGAAAGCCGGGAAGAUGCGCUGUGAGAGAUCCAGAAGACGAUGGAGAUUAACUUUUACCGGAACAUUUGUUAGUGAUUGUGGUGAAAAAUGCAAAUGUACACCAAUAACAUUAUUAUAAGUAGAUUCUAGAUUAAAAUAAAUGGGUCCGCUUCGUCUUUCA